rnacentral:lncRNA from 1 species
AAAAGGACUCCCUCUCUGCACAUCUCAAGAAAAAAAGAGAGAAAAAUCCUUUCCUCUCUCUUCAAACGGAUAGAAAAAACAAAAGAACAAAAAAGAGGAACUCUCUCAAUGGUACACUCACAAAACCACUCACCAAAAUCCAUAUCCCUCUCACUCCUUACAACCAGUGUCGCGUGUCCCGUUCCUCUAUAUUUAACAAAUAAUC